rnacentral:rRNA from 1 species
UACAGAGGGUGCAAGCGUUGUUCGGAAUUACUGGGCGUAAAGAGCGCGUAGGCGGUCCAUUAAGUGUGAAGCUAAAUCUCUUGGCUUAACCAAGAAACUAUUUCGCAUACUGAUGGGCUGGAGUGAUGCAGAGGUGGAUAGAAUUCCCGGUGUAGCGGUGAAAUGCGUUGAUAUCGGGAGGAAUACCCGUGGCGAAGGCGGUCCACUGGGCAUCAACUGACGCUGAGGCGCGAAAGCGUGGGGAGCAAACAGG